rnacentral:tRNA from 1 species
GCUUAAAUAGUUUAAUUAAAAACGUUGAUUUGUGGUGUCAUUGAUAUAUAUAUAUUUAUUUUAGGUC